GCGUGCAUUGCUAUUUUCAACCCCUUGAGAGACGGACUUGAACCCGAGUCUAGGGCUAUACAAAUACGCACAUUAAUGUACUAAAAUGCGGUAGGCCCUACAAAUAAAGUUAUAUUUUAUAGUACGCUACAUUCUAUUUCUUCAAGACUGUCAGCCGCCAGUUGGUCCUUACGCUAGGAUUAAACUGCGCUUUAAAAAAGAUGUGGCACAGUCUGAUCUGCGCAUGUGC